rnacentral:lncRNA from 1 species
CAAUGUGAAUGGCAGCUUGAUUGUCACAAUGCAUUGUCAUUGGAGUUGCUUGAUCAAUCUCCAAGUGCUUCAAGAUGCCUUUGAUCCACACCAACUCGUUUGUGAGCUUCAGCAAGUGAUUAUCCAUUACUUUAUGUAUCAAAAUCAAGCUUCUUACAUCGCGAUUCAUCCUGUUUUGAUUAGAAUGACAAGGAAGCUGUCAUAUUCCCAAACAGAAAAACUGGGAUCACCUAAUUUUGAAAGUGGGAUAGCUUCUUCAGCCUAACUCCUAUGAGAUUUAUUCAACUUCCUAGUGAUUAUCCAUUACUUUAUGUAUCAAAAUCAAGCUUCUUACAUCGCGAUUCAUCCUGGUUCGAUUAGAAUGACAAGGAAGCUGUUAUAUUCCCAAACAUGAAAACUAGGAUCACAUGAUUUGAAAGUGGGAUAGCUUCUUCAUCCUAACUCCUAUGAGAUUUAUUCAACUUCCUAGUGAUUCUCCAUUACUUUAUGUAUCAAAAUCAGGCUUCUUACAUCGCGAUUCAUCCUGGUUUGAUUAGAAUAACAAGGAAGCUGUCAUAUUCCCAAACAGGAAAACUGGGAUCACCUGAUUUGAAAGUGGGAUAGCUUCUUCAUCCUAACUCCUAUGAGAUUUAUUCAACUUCCUAGUGGUUCUACACUACUUUAUGUAUCCAUUUAAAGCUUCUUACAUCACGAUUUAUCCUGGUUUGAUUAGAAUGACAAAGAAUGUUGAACUGAAGAGAAGAUAGAGCUUGUGUUAACUUGAAGAAUAGAAAUGGAGUGAAAGGAGAAGUAUGGAGGAGUUAGGUCUGGUACAAAGAUAGGGCAAGUCCUUUAGGGAUUGUCUAUCAAGCUUCAGGAGUGUCUCUUUGUGUCCAGAAGUGAUCUGAUGGUUGUGCAAAGAUAGGGCCAAGUCCAGGAGGGACUUAGAAGAGUAUUUGGGCAAGUGUGCAAACUUAGGGACUGGCCGUACGGAUUUGGUACGGACGUUGUACGGACCGUACGGAUCCGUACGGACCGAGACAUCUCGAAAGUUCACCAGUCGACCAUUGGAGCACAUUUGAGGUUGGUGCAAAAAUAGGGCAGAGGUAAGCUCUUAAGAGAAGAAGACAAAAGAAGGAAGCUGGCGCCAAAGACAGGCUGGAACAGGCUGGCCAAGAGCUGUGUAUUGACCAUGUAUCUAGUCUGAUAUAUGGGAAAGUUCAAGGGAGCCUUACAGCAACCAAUCAGGCACCAGUCUCCACAUUGACCAGAUUCAAAUGAGCCAAUAAUGAAGCAACAAGAGCACAGCCAAUGAAGAAUCACGACCAGCCUUACUCUCCAUCCUAUCCAUCCAUUUAAAUUCAAGUUAUAUCAGCCAUUAGAUUUAGGUUUAUGAUUUGCAUCUUGUAAGAGCAUAUAUAAGCUUAUAUGUGGCAUUUUGUAUGAACUAAGUGAGUAAGGGGGUUUCCCUUCUCCUUCCCUAAUCUUCAGUCUCUUAUUCUCUCAGUCUCUCUCUAGUCUCUCAGUCUCUUAAUCUCAUUCUCUUUAGUCUCUUAAACACUUAAACACUCUCACCCAUCUCUGUUCUUAAAUCACCUAGAACUAAGCUCUCAUCUUUCUCCAUUGGAGUUUAUACACACAUACACACAACCAGAGUAGAGAUCUCUUUAAAAAUCAUAUGGUAUCAGAGCCAGGUUCAUUAGAACUUGGUUCUUGCUUCUGCUGAAGCUCAUAGCUCUCCUCCAUGUCGCUUGAAG